AUUGUAGAAAUUAUAAUUUUGUAUUUUAUUUUAUUUUAUUUUUAUUUUCGGAUCAACAAACGGUAGCACGCAGUGCUUGGAAAAAAACAGUAAUGAUAUAAAUACAGUAAUACUAUACGUGCUACCCACUACGUCAACCACAUAUUAUUAAUUAUGCUUUACUACAUAGUUACAUCUAUAAAUUAAUAUUAGUGUUGUAAUAUAUUAGUUAAGUUAUCGUCUAUAUUCUAAUUACCCUACAGCCUUAGCUUAAUAUAGUAUUAUUAUUUUUAAGAGAAUCUAUGACCAGCUUCUUG